ACUAAUUCACUUUAUCUCUUUUUCCUCUUGCAUCUGAAUGCAAGCUAUGUAAGACAUACCUCACCAGUCAAAAUAAACCGCUUGUUCCAAAUGCUUCCGCCAGUUUUUAAUAAGAAUCUUCUCUGCUCUGUACAACAAACUCAGUUUCUAACGCACUUCAAGAGAGCUAUGUGCAAAAAAAAAAAAAAGAAAAAAAAGAAAAAAGAAAAAACAAACAAACAAAAAAAGAGGAACAAUGUACUCAUUACAGUAUGUUAAGUUGCCAGCACUAGGCAAUUAAAAGGUACGGUCUGUAGGAACGCUGCAAAACAGAACAGUUAGCUUCUUUGUCUUCUCAUUAACAAGAUUGUUAUUUUACCUCUCUAGGUAGGAAGCUUAAGAAACAAAACAUUCUUGGCUUCUAAGUCACUCCAGGAAAAUAAAGAGUUGUUGACAGCUAGGACUUGUGGAAAGAACCAUUUAUACUGUAAAUAAAUUUGCACAUCCUUGUGGUUGUAAUAAAGAUAAUUCCGUAUCCAUUCUAUUGGACUAGAUGCAGAAACCAUUUAAAGAAACAUCAAAGUCCUCCCGGAGCAAAUGGCUCUUGUCCUGCUGACGCCGUCACCGCUGAGACUGCUGAGUAAUGCCUCCCCUUGGGACCCAGAAAUUUGGAAUUUUUCCUGCAACGUGCUAUGUUGUUGAGGCCACAGACUAGCGCUGGGAGGAACCACGGAGACUCUUUUACUUGCUCUCUGCCUGGGCUCUUUAAUGCUUGGCUGUCGUUUAAAAAAUGAUGACCCAAAUCUUUGCCAUUUGCCAAGUGUGAGUACUUUGUGGUAGAGAGGAAUGCGGUUCUCUUUGAUUCUGGAAUUCCUCCUGGUUUCCCUGCGUGGGUGGAAAAAGAGCCAAGAAUUUCUUGACGUUGGGAAGUCCAAGAUCAAGACGCUGGCAGAUUCCUUCCUGGUUCAUGGAUGGCCAUCUUUUCUCUGUGUC
rnacentral:lncRNA from 1 species